rnacentral:rRNA from 1 species
UACGUAGGGUGCAAGCGUUACUCGGAAUUAUUGGGCGUAAAGCGCAUGUAGGCGGUUUUGUAAGUUUGAUGUGAAAUCCCUGGACUCAAUUCAGGAACUGCAUUGAAUACUGCAAGACUAGAGUACGGGAGAGGUAGGUGGAAUUCCUGGUGUAGAGGUGAAAUUCGUAGAUAUCAGGAGGAACAACAGAGGCGAAGGCGACUUACUGGACCGUAACUGACGCUGAGAUGCGACAGUGUGGGGAGCAAACAGG